CUCAUCAUCAUCCAAUAUAAUAGAGAAUAUAUCCUAACAUGUUCAUAUCUAAACUACACAAAAAGUUAAGAAAAGGUAUCAUCCAAAUCAAAUAAUAAAGGUAGAAGCUUUAUUAAUCAAUUUCUUGAACUUCUUCCUUCAAUUUGAGUCUUAAAUCUUCCACUACUUGUGUUGCUUUGUCUUGUAAACUUUUGCUAGUCUCUUGUAUGAUAAAAAAAAAAAAAAAACUUGGUAAACAGUUGUAGACGGCCCCCCUUACAUUAAAAAGGUGUUAAGAAAUCAUUUUAUACAUAAUUGGAUAAAAUGAAGAGAAGCGGAUUUUUUCGUCUUUGAGACAUCCAUGCAUGGGCAUGGGCAUGGGCAUGCCGCUUGCCUAGGCAUAGGCAAGGCAAUUUAGGUUCAGUCGGGCUCUAUGAGAUCCUUGUGCAUGCAUGGCGGAUGCAUGCGCAUGGUUUAACUUUUCGGGAUCAAACUUGUAAUUUUCUCCUAGAAUUUGUUCACAAGUACAUUUUGGUCCUCCUUCAUUCAUUUUCAUCUCGUUGUCUUCAGUUGCUGUUCAAUUGACUUCUAGCACUCUCAAAUCUUUAUCAUGAGGUCUGAUACGACUUUAGAGUAUUCACUUAAUUUCUUGCAAUUUACCCCUUGCUUAGCCCCUUUCCUCCAAUUCCAUUAUUUUCAUCAAUGUUUACCUGAAACACAAUAUACAUAGAAUCAAGCCAAAAUUCAUAAGACAUCCAACAGAUAUUCUAAUUUAGAGACCUAAAUAAAUGUUCUAUCAAUAUUUGAUUAUCUUUCUUGAAUAAGUCUUAAUACUUAGCCAGCCAAAGUAAUUAUCACUCUUAUUCUAUUUUAUUAAGGAUGACCUAACCGGAUCGAAUUUGUACAAUUACUGAAUGUUUAAGAAGACAUCAACAAAUUUUAACAUGAUUCUAUAAAUACAAUUAUGAUCCAUAUUAAACUCAAGCGAUGACAUUAAAGGACGAUAAACGAAAUCCUCCCGUUGGAAGGAAGAAAGCACCACAAAAUUCACAUCAAAUCUCCACUAAGUAAAUCUCAUGUUACAAUGAAUUGCUAAUAAAAAACUAUCAAGUAAAAACUAUACAAAAAAUUGGUGUCCCGUUAUUGGAGAUUAGUUUCUUCCUUUUCUCGAUUGGAUUAAUAGCACAAAGAAGAUUUGGUUCACGUCUAGACAAUAGUGAGAAGUUAACUCUCGGCCUUGAUAAUGGCAAGAAGACGAUUGAACAUCUCAGGGGUGAUACCAGGCAUCGAUAUGGGCUCCAAAGGAUUGUAUUCCUCUGCNNNNNNNNNNNNNNNNNNNNNNNNNNNNNNNNNNNACCCAAAAUUUCUUGCGCUCUUCCCCCACGUAAACUGGGAAGAACCCUCUCCGAAGACGUCCCUUCUGGCGUUCACUUUCUUCGUUCUUGAAACGUAACUUCUUCAUCAACUCACCGAACUUCCCGAAGAGAGUCGUCAUCUUCUUUAUUUCAAUGCACUUUAAUUCUAUCAAUCAGAUUUGAGGAAAACAAGAACUUAUAUUGAACGGCGUUGGAUUCGA
rnacentral:lncRNA from 1 species